AGUGGACUAUACCAGUUAUUACCAGGGCCUAUGGGAUUGCCAUGGUGACCAGCCAGACGAACUGUCCUUCCAAAGGGGUGACCUCAUCCGAAUUCUGAGCAAGGAGUAUAACGCGUAUGGCUGGUGGGUAGGAGAACUGAACAGCCUCAUUGGGAUUGUUCCAAAGGAGUAUCUCAUCACUGCCUUUGAAAUGGAAGAAAUAUGAAGCCCAGGACACAUAUCCUUGUCUCUGGCCUGCCUUUAUGAAGAAACCGAUCGUCAGGAGUUCCUAUCCCCUACCCCAGCCACCCCACCAACACCAUGGAUUCUUCUCUUUACUGAAGAGACCCAAGCCUCUGACACCUUGUAGUAACUGAAAACCGCCAGCGAGACAAGUGGGAAAAGGCACACUCAGCAGAUCUGUUACUACACCUGCCUUGUCAUAGCUCAUCCCACCUUUACUUUUUUUUCAUCCCGCCUGUAAACAUGUCCACACAUCCACUUCCGCCUUCUCCACAGGCUUGUCACAGAGAAGGUGAGAGAGAAGGAAACCUUUGGAGGAGGAAGUUGCUGGUUGUUUCAUCUGAUUGGAAAAGCAUAAAUAAACUUCAUAUUUGGUUCCUGGCA